UACGUAGGGUCCGAGCGUUGUCCGGAAUUAUUGGGCGUAAAGGGCUCGUAGGCGGUUUGUCACGUCGGGAGUGAAAACUUGGGGCUUAACCCCAUUCGUGCUUCCGAUACGGGCAGACUAGAGGCAGGCAGGGGAGAACGGAAUUCCUGGUGUAGCGGUGGAAUGCGCAGAUAUCAGGAGGAACACCGGUGGCGAAGGCGGUUCUCUGGGCCUGUUCUGACGCUGGAGGAGCGGAAAGCAUGGGGAGCGAACAGG
rnacentral:rRNA from 1 species